rnacentral:rRNA from 1 species
UACGUAGGGGGCAAGCGUUGUCCGGAAUCAUUGGGCGUAAAGAGCGCGUAGGCGGUCCGGUAAGUCGGUUGUGAAAACUGGGGGCUCAACCCUCAGAGGCCGACCGAUACUGCCGGGCUAGAGUCCGGGAGAGGGAUGUGGAAUUCCAGGUGUAGCGGUGAAAUGCGUAGAUAUCUGGAGGAACAUCGGUGGCGAAGGCGGCAUCCUGGACCGGUAUUGACGCUGAGGCGCGAAAGCCAGGGGAGCAAACGGG